CCACCUAGCCACUUGUCUGUG
rnacentral:snRNA from 1 species